GGAGAGAUGGCCGAGCGGCUGAAGGCGCUCCCCUGCUAAGGGAGUAUACGGUUUAUCCCGUAUCGAGGGUUCGAAUCCCUCUCUCUCCGCCA
rnacentral:tRNA from 2 species